rnacentral:lncRNA from 1 species
UGCAUUAACUACAAAUUGCAUUAAAUACAGAUUGCUUUAACUACAUUUAAAGUCAAUUCACUCCAUUUAACUACAAUUCAAUACAACAUGUAGUUUAUUGAACACUGUUGACAGCAUUUUAAAGACUGCCUUAAUGUACAAACUUGAACUACAUAUUAUAAAUGCAACUUUUACUUUUUUCAGCACAUCGAUGUUAUAAUGUAC